rnacentral:rRNA from 1 species
GAUCCUGGCUCAGGAUGAACGCUAGCGGCAGGCUUAACACAUGCAAGUCGAGGGGGCAGCAUAAUGGAUAGCAAUAUCUAUGGUGGCGACCGGCGCACGGGUGCGUAACGCGUAUGCAACCUACCUUUAACAGGGGGAUAACACUGAGAAAUUGGUACUAAUACCCCAUAAUAUCAUAGAAGGCAUCUUUUAUGGUUGAAAAUUCCGAUGGUUAGAGAGGUGGGCAUCGCGUUGUUA